ACAUUUGUCCAGCAAAAGGAAUAAUAAUAGAGAUGCAAUCUUAUGGAUUGCUUGGUAUUGCCAUGAUGAUUCAUAACCUGAUAAAUUGUAGGGAAAGAUUUGUACAGAUUAAUGUAUCAAUUUUUCAGAUGAAAAACCACAGCUUUUUUUUCUCCUAAAAGCAUGGUACUAUUGAAUUCCUGAUUUGCACAUUCUUUGAAGAAUUCUUAUUUAAAAUUGUAUGUUCCAAAUGGUAGACUGAAAAGUAUAAGGGAAUACAGCCUUUGGUGGGG
rnacentral:misc_RNA from 1 species